rnacentral:lncRNA from 1 species
AUUUAUGGGAUAAUGUGGGAUAGCUUAAAAUUUUAAAAUGGGUUUAAAUGAAAAGAUCCUAUUAGAAGUGGGGUAGAAUUAGAAGUUUUAAGAAAUGUGACACUCAGCAGCUAAGGUGUCCUGAAGGACCAAUCAGGGAAGGACACGGAUGUAAAAACAUAUUAAAGAGAGUUGUGUAAGAUUGGACGGUCGGGAUCUUGCCAUGUGGAAACUCAUGGCAGAUCGAACAAUCAGGAACUAAAGACAUAAAAUUGACAGUAAGAAUCUUUCUUUCAAAUUUUGAUGGACAUGAUUAGAUCUAUUUGGUUAUAAAUAGGAUUAGGGUUCU